rnacentral:ncRNA from 1 species
GAUAACAAGUCAAUCUUCCCCAAAGGUUCACAUUGACGAAAAAGUUUGGCACCUCGAUAUCGGCUCUUCGCCACCUGAGGUUGUAGCAUGUUCCAGGGGUCGGGUUGUUCCCCAUUAAAGUGGUAUCUGAGCUGGGUUCCAUAUGUUGAGAGAUAGUUU